AUUGAACGCUGGCGGCAUGCCUAACACAUGCAAGUCGAACGGUAACAGGCCCUUCGGGGUGCUGACGAGUGGCGGAUGGGUGAGUAAUACUUAGGAAUCUACCCUGUAGUGGGGGACGAACCCGGGGAAACUCGGGCUAAUACCGCAUACGCUCUACGGAGGAAAGCGGGGGACCGGCAAGGCCUCGCGCUAUUGGAUGAGCCUAAGCCCGAUUAGCUAGUUGGUGGGGUAAUAGCCUACCAAGGCAAUGAUCGGUAGCUGGUCUGAGAGGACGACCAGCCACACUGGGACUGAGACACGGCCCAGACUCCUACGGGAGGCAGCAGUGGGGAAUAUUGGACAAUGGGCGAAAGCCUGAUCCAGCGAUGCCGCGUGUGUGAAGAAGGCCUGCGGGGUUGUAAAGCACUUUCAGUAAGGGAAGAAAUGCUUGGAGCUAACACCGCCAAGUUUUGACGUUACCUACAGAAGAAGCACCGGCUAACUCCGUGCCAGCAGCCGCGGUAAC
rnacentral:rRNA from 1 species